AAAAAACUAAACAAGGCUGUUAAAGAAAUAUUGCUAAUACAAGACUUCUACCGUUAUGGGAAGCAACAACAUGGACGAGAACUUUUUUCUUGACAUUCCAGAUGCCGCGCUAGAAGCUUUAAAUUUUGAACAAGAUGGAAGUCAAAACCACCCAAUAGGUUUUCCUGAAAUUACAGAGGAAGG